UGGCAAUAACCAAAGGUAUGAAGUAUUUAGAAACAAAAAUGCAAAGAUCUUUUAUCUAACAAAAGAUGUAUAAGAUCUAUAUAUGGAAACACUAAAGCUCUUCUGAAAGACAUUAACAAGAAAUGAAUACAGGACGUGAGAUAGCACGUUCCUAGAAUGUCGUACAGAUGUCAAUUCUCAAAUUAAUCUACAAAUUUAAUGUAAUCCUGUUCAAAUCCCAAGAUAGUUUUUGGUGGCAGCUGUUUGUGAGACAGGGUCUCGCUGUUGCCCAGGCUAGAGUGCAGUGGUAUGACCACAGUUCACUGCAUCCUCAACCUCCCAGGCUCAAGCAAUCCUGCCACUUCAGCCUCUGAAGUCUCUCAUAUGGUGUCCAAGAAAUGGUGACAAAUCUCACAAAGGGACUAGGCUCAGGAGGGCUGGAAUAUUCAGGGAAGGUGUCAAGAAGAUGAACCUGAGUUGGCUUUUGAGAGAUUCAUAGGAUUCCCACAGGCAGAGUGAAAUAAGGGCAUUUUAGAUGGACAAACACACAAAAGCAGAAAUGCGGAUGGUGUGACUGGGGUAUGGUGAGGGGCUGCUCUGGCUGGAAUGGAGGGCUGUCACAAUAAUGGAAAUGGCAAAUGAGGCAAGUAAGGUUGGAUUGGUAGCAUAGUGUCAAGGUUGCCAGUUUAUUAAAUCACUCUUCCAAUAUGCUAGCAGUGGCCUCUUGGGGAUCAUGUAAUCGAACAAAAGGCAAACAGAGGCAAGCUCCAGGAAUGGGCACUGUGAACAGGACUCGCCCCAGAGUAGCCAGAUGUAGGCUUUAGACAUUUUAAUGCAGGUUGAGCAUCUCUGAUCCGAGGGGGAAUGUCUCACAUGGUCUCCAAGAAAUGGUGACACAUCUCACAGAGGGCCUAGGCUCAGGAGGCCUGGAGUAUGAAACGCUCCCCGUCCCCUGUGAACUUAAAAAUGUGGCCAUCAACUUUUUUAAAAGAUGGCUACUCUGUAGUGCUUUAACUGGACCUUUUUAGACAAUGCCUUACACACUGGAAAAGGAUGAUACUGUGUGAACCUAAUAAGUCUACAAGACAAUACUUCUCUCUUUUGGCUGUCUCCUUCCUCUCCAGGGUGAUGACAACUCCGUGAGGUGGAGAUUAUACGUCUCUCAUCAUUUCAGCAACAAGGAAAUAAAUGAGUGGCAGAGUAAGGGGUGACUUGAGACCUCCUGGAAGCGAGGAUCCUUUAAAAUCAUGGAAUAUACACUGCAGUAAAAGAACAAAGCGUACGUCAGCCUUAACCGACUGAAGAAGAAUGUCAAGUAGCAGCAGGUGGGAAAGCGGCUUUGGUUUUGAGUUUGUGGGCUCUGAAUCCACACAAAGACAGGACUGCAUUCUGAAAACCUGAAUUAAUUGUGCUUACCUGAAUGAGGCAGAAAAUUAUAAUCAAAGUCGUUAGUAUUUCGGUCACAAAUAAUGCCAAGAUGAGUUUGUUGUUAUAUCCAUAUCCUGGAACUUCUUUUGUGAGCUAACAAAAAAAAAAAAAGAGAGAGAG